GAGUGGCAACCCCAUUAGCCACAAACAGAGAGGAGUGGAAACCUUCUGAAGGGGAAACACAUCAUGCCUGGACUGCAGAGUCUUCCCAGCCUCCCGGGAGUACAUGGCCCGCCGGAGGUUCUUCCUCUCCAGCGCGGUCAGGUUCUCCUCCACGGUCUCCUGGAGCGGGAACCAACAGGGUCAACAUUUCGGGGUGGAGCGUGCAGCUAAGAGCCCCCGUCAGGUUGUGGACAGACGCGCGCCAUCUCUACCCAGAGAGCACCAGGAUUUCCCUCCAGAGGCCGUUUGG